rnacentral:rRNA from 1 species
AUACCACUUGUUGCCUCGGCGGAUCAGCCCGCUCCCGGUAAAACGGGACGGCCCGCCAGAGGACCCCUAAACUCUGUUUCUAUAUGUAACUUCUGAGUAAAACCAUAAAUAAAUCAAAACUUUCAACAACGGAUCUCUUGGUUCUGGCAUCGAUGAAGAACGCAGCAAAAUGCGAUAAGUAAUGUGAAUUGCAGAAUUCAGUGAAUCAUCGAAUCUUUGAACGCACAUUGCGCCCGCCAGUAUUCUGGCGGGCAUGCCUGUUCGAGCGUCAUUUCAACCCUCAAGCACAGCUUGGUGUUGGGACUCGCGUUAAUUCGCGUUCCUCAAAUUGAUUGGCGGUCACGUCGAGCUUCCAUAGCGUAGUAGUAAAACCCUCGUUACUGGUAAUCGUCGCGGCCACGCCGUUAAACCCCAACUUCUGAAUGUUGACCUCGGAUCAGGUAGGAAUACCCGCUGAACUUAAGCAUAUCAU